UCAAUUCUUUCUUUCAUGGAUCACACCUUUGGUGUUGUAUCUGGAAAGUCAUCACCAAACACGAUGAUAUCUAGAAUUUCUCCUGUGUUAUCUUCCAGGAAUUUUAUCGUUUUGCAUUUUUACAUUUAGUUCUGUGGCCCACUUCAAGUUAGUUUUUGUGAGGAUGCAACCCAGAAGAAUAACAUCAGAGGACUGACAUGACUCAAGUUCAAGACUGCCUGGAAAACCGGAAUAGCCAGGACAAUGUGGUAUUGCUGAAGGAAUAGGUAAAUUGAGGAAUAGGCCAGAAAAGACAGCCCAGAAACAGACCUGCAUAAAUGUGGCCAACUGAUCGUUGACAAAGGAGUGAAGGCAACUCAAUGAAGCCAAAGUCUUUGACAGCCUUUUCAGUAAGUGGUGCUGGAACAACUGGGCACCAAAAUCCAUAAGAAUGAUAGUGAUGAUGAUGAUGAGAUGGAUCACAGAGCUUGCAUUCUCAUGUAUUUUGCUUUUUCAAACCAUGCAGUGACAAAUGUCCUCGUGCCAACCUACUCGGGCACAGAUACCUUUUUUCCUAGGGUCUCUACCAAGAAAUGAGUCUUACAGUAAGAUAAGGCAGUAUUUUAAUUCCACUAACUCCAUUGUUCUUCACAACAGCCCUGUGAGGUUGGUGUUAUCACAUCUCCAUUUCUUCUAGAUAAAGAACCUUGAGACUCUGGGAGGUGAACAUAUGUGGUAGACUGCAUUUUCCAAAGAUGGCCACAACAGUCUCUCCUGCCUGCUCACGUCCUCUCCAAAGUGACCUUAUUACGUCUCCACUGGAGAGGUGGAGUCUAAUGCCCUCGCCUGGAAUCUGGGCUGGCCUUAGUGAGUUGCUUGUGUUGAGGCUCAGAAAACAACAUCUCAAAAUAUGUGCCCUUGACAUGCUGAACUGAAGAAGCAGUCUCAAGGUCUCUCUGACCUUCCAACCAUCACCCUCCUACCCUCUCUUAAUCCUCUGUCUCCCUUAAAGCACAGGAUAAAGUUCUCUGAGGUUCUCUUUUCUGUCUAAAGUCUGGACCCCACAGGAAGAAAACAAUGGCCUCUGGUGCCUUCUCUGAGUUUUUAUCCAUUGAAUUCAUAUUGCAGGAAGAAAGAUGGAAAUCUGUCAACACAGCCGGAUAGACUUUUGUCACAAAGCAUUUCCUGCUGUGCAGGCCCUACAGACUUUGCCCCAGGCCACUGUCCAUUCCUCAAGCCCACUGAAUUUCUCUAAAAAUCAUUUACUAACCCUCUAAAAUCAUCCACAUUCUCCCAUCUUCCUUUCCCCUAAGAAGAAAGGUAUAUAACCGUCUGUACACCUUAUUGCGUCAGGUUGGGGUAACAACUCCGCGAUUUUCUCUCCAUGCAUGCUGACUAAUUUUUACGCCAUUUAUCCUAUUAACCUGCGUUUUUUGAGUUGAUUUUUCAGCAAAACUUCAGAGGGCAAAGAAGUUUUCCUUUGGCCCCCUGCACUCAGCCAAUAGAAUUUGACAGAAGUCUGAGCUUUCUGGUGCCAGGUCACAAAAAGACCUUCCACCUAUGCUCCUGGAACACGAGCCCUUCAGAUGCCCCCUCACAGAAGCCAGCCUCUGUGUCAUGGGAAACCCAGGCCAGACUGAGGAGCCACAUGUGGACCCUUCAGCCUACUAACAGCAACUGCUGUUCACACGGGUGGCCAUGUUGAACAUCAGCACAGUUCCACCUCCAGAUGGCUCUGUGCAGUCUGCAGGAAAAUGAAGGAACACAGGAAUCCUCAGCAGAUGCAGGUUGUCGCUGCCCUCAGCCUCCAGAUGCAGCCCCCUGCCACCUUCAGGACCCCUGGCUCUCCCGCUGACUCAGUAGUGAAAGGGUUUAUGUGUGCAGAGGGAGUCCUUCAGGAAUCUGUGCAUAGAAUGCCACAGUGCAGAGGAAACAGCCCCAGAAAAUAGAACACCUGCUAAGUGAGACUCCUCAGCCCGGCCAGAGAAUGUGCGUUCUGACGACUGCUUCUCAUUUGCACCGAUCGCUGUCUUCUUUCUGAAACCGCCCAACUUUUCUCCCAGAGAGUAUCAUGGAACUGAACUUUCAAGAUCAGGGCAUCUGGACAUCAAGACAACAGAACCCUCAUCUGGCCACCUGCUGCUUGUUGACCAAUUCCCAUAGAAACCACUAACUUCAGUCAGUUGGAGAGACGGAUUUGAGAUUUGCCUUCUGUCUCUCAGCUGAUGUCACCAGCAAUAGAGCCUUCUUCCCUGGCAAUA